AGGGCCCAGGAAGUGGGUGAGGUUUGUUUUUCACAGUUAUUUGGUGACAUGUAUGCCUUCCCACAAAUGAGUUUGUGUUGCUGGCUGGCAGGGUACUUUGUAGGGGCCAGAUGAAUGACAGGAAUCCAUGGUUUGAUUGCCGUACCUCGAGCCCCUCUGUCACCCAGUGUGUUCCUGGUGAGGAAUCAGGAUGCUGUGGCCUGCUUGGUCAGUGACUUCUAUCCCAAGGAACUCCAUGUGUCCCUGGUCUCCACUAGAGCCUCAGUCUCAGCCCAGGCCCUCACUGUUGCUUCCACAGCCCAUGGCACCUACAGUGCCAUCCGGUUUGGCAGGGUUGGUGAGAAUGACUCAGUAACCUGCUCAGUGCAGCACCUUGGGAAAAAGACCCUUGUGUCCUACCAGCCAGAAAAAUCCUUGGAAUGAAGUCUCGGGAGUCAACACUUUGUCCUCAACAUCACCCUUGGAAAUCCCAGAAUGAUCCCAGUGACUUAAGUUGCAUUUAUUCUGCCCCCCCCCGCCCCAGCUACAGAGUAGCCAAUCCUGGGUCUGUGUCCCCUGUGAUCUGUUCCCCAGAUUCCUAUUCUAAAAUAAAAAUGGAAGGGCCCUGUCUA